GAUGCCUAGCCUCACUGAUGAGAAAAUAAAGUGACUUGCCCAUAGCCACAACAAGAAUGAUGUAGGCAGCAGAAACAGAAUGGCAGCCAGGGUGGCAAGCUGUUUUCAGUGGAUAUGAUAUACACACUUGCCCAAAAGAGUGAAGUCUCAGCUGAAUGGCAGGAAUCUUGCUGCAGGAUGUUUGCUUCAAGGAAACCAGAUGUAUUUUUCCCAGAACCAACCCAAGAAGAUCAGCGGCAGAGACUCUGUCACGCAAAUCCCGUCACGUGACUAGCAUUUUCACUUUCCAACUACUGUGAAGCCUGAAGCACCUGAACUCUAACGUUAGCUAGCUAAUGAUGAUAGGCAACUUGCACUAAUUUUGAUCACAUAACUUUUUGGGUGCCAAAGUAUGGUCUUCUUGAAUAAAAGUUGAUAAAGUAGAACAUGUCCACUUUGAGUCAAUGGUUUUAUAACAAACCCUUCAAGCGGUCGAUAAGUCCAUUAUGCUUAAUAUAGAUAUCAAGCGGUGACAACACGUCAUCAAAUUAACCAUAUAGCUACAGAAAAGACUGUCUAUAUUCAACCAGGUCAAGAGACUCCAAGUAAUCGUC